AGUGAGAGAGAGACAGAGAGAGAAAGGUCUUCCUUUUUGCCGUUGGUUCACCCUCCAAUGGCCGCCGCUGCAGCCGGCGCACCGCGCUGAUCCUGGCAGGAGCCAGGAGCCAGGUGCUUUUCCUGGUCUCCCAUGGGGUGCAGGGCCCAAGCACCUGGGCCAUCCUCCACUGCACUCCCUGGCCAUAGCAGAGAGCUGGCCUGGAAGAGGGGCAACCGGGACAGAAUCCGGCGCCCCAACCGGGACUCGAACCCGGUGUGCCGGCGCCGCAAGGUGGAGGAUUAGCCUAUUGAGCCACGGCGCCGGCUUAUUUCUUCAUUUUUAAAAUUUUGUUGGUUUAUCUUAUUUUCCUAACUUUGGAAGUUAGACACCCAGGACACUUAUUUUAAGUCUUCUUUUGUAAUUUAUGUUUUUUAGACAUUUAAAAAAUUUUUAUUUACUUAUUUGAGCACCCUGAAUUUUGAGAUACAGAUAGAAAUAAAGAUAGAGAUAGAGAUGAUGGAGAUAGAGAUAGAUAGAGAUACAGAGAACUCCAGUUUACUCUUCUGAAUGCCCAUAAAUAGCUUGAGCUUGGCCAGCUGAAGCUGAGAUCUGGGAACUCAAAUGCCAGUCUCUCAUGGGAGGCAAGAACUCAAUGACUUGAGCCAUCAAGUUUCUGCUACUCCUUAGAAUCCUCCUUAGAAUCUGUCUGCGUUAGCAUGAGUCAGCUAGAGUUAGGAGCCACAGUCAAUAUUGGAACUCAGGCUCUACAAUUUAUUUCACAGACAUCUCAACUGGCAUCUUAACUGCUAAGCCAAAUACCCAUUUCUUAAUUUGUGUUUUAAAUAAUGUUUUUCUUUUUGCUGUGUCACAGAAGUUUUUAUAAAUGUUUUUUAAAAUUUUCAGUUUUAACAAAUUAUUGAGGGGUAUGUAUUUAUUUGUUAUUAAUAACAAAUAUGCAUAUUAUUUGUACUUAAUUGCAUUAUGGCGCUAAAAUGUGAUGUGUUAUAGUGUCCUCCUUUAUUAUUAACUUCUGAAAAUAUUCCUUGUGUUUUAGAGGGGAAAAAAGUGGUUAUUUCACUAAUUAUUGGUUAUAGCGUUUUAUAUAUGCCAUUCAUUUACUUCAAGCUUUUAUAUGGUCAAUACUCACAUAGACACUAGUUUUUGUUACUUGUUAUCACAUAGAUGGAAAGAACUGUCCUGAAAUUUCUGGUGGUAGAUGGGCAGUUUCUGUGUUCUAUCAAUUUUUACUGUACAUAUUUUAGGACACACAUCUUCUACUGCUUCCCCAGGCCAUAGCAGAGAGCUGAAUCGUAAGUGGAGCAGCCAGGACUCAAACUGGUGCCCAUGUGGGAUGCUGGCACUGCAGGCUGCAGCUUUACACUCUAUGCACUGCGCCAGCCCGUAUCAUUGUUUGUUGAAAGGGCAUCCAAUUUGUCAGAAUAGGAUUCCUGUAGGGGAGAUAAUUAUGUAUUGUCAGCAAUGAAUAGAUGGAAACAUUUAAAAAUAAGCAAUUGUUUUUUGAGAUAAUUAAAUCAAGCUAGUAUUGGCUAUAGGAUUGAGAGAAGGGAAUGAACACUUUGAGAAAACAGACUGGGAUGAAAUACUUGGUUUUAUGAAAAAUGAAUUUUUAUGAAUAUUUUCUUGUAUAUUGGCAAAAAAAUCCCUGAAAGAUAAACAGACUUUUGAAAUUGUUAUGGUAUGGCUGAGAGUUUCAGUAAAGAUCAAAUUUAAUGCUUUUUUCAGUUGUUAUGCCCAAAUAAUAAAAAUCCAUAAUUGAAAACUGAAAUUACUAAACCUGGUUUUGCUGUCUUCAACAGCCCAUUGUACUGGUUGUUGGAUUUACUGAUGCCAGCAACUUUGUUUUGUUUUGUUUUUCCUGCAGAAUUUACAUACAGAUCUGAAGUUUAUUAAUUCAGAUAUAGAGAAUUCCAGCUUCGUUUCUUAAUGAAUUCUUUGUGUUGGUAACUGCUAGAUAUUCCAAGAAGACUUUCAGCUCUGCGGCUGAUAGCCUUGGGAUUCCCUCACCCACUGGACAAUCUGUUAUAGAUCAGUCUGGUGUUCUUGUGAAGCCAGGAAAUGCUUGCAAUAGUCCUAGUGACUGAUGAUGAAAGAAAGGUCAGAAGAUAAUAACUAAGAAAGAAUGGUCACAGAAGCAGAGAAGAAUCUGGACUGGUAUCCUGAAAGCCAGGUGAGGAAAGACUGAGUUUGGGAGUGGUCAUGUAAGAUGUGGACUGUCGGUCUGAUGUGUGCUGUGGUGAGGUGAUUGUGUGGGUGUCCUGUGUUUGCCUCUCGAGAUCCACUUUCUGACUUUUCCAUCUUGCUUUGUGUCCAAGCAAUGCUGAUCAUCAGGAGAGAUGCCUUGCCCUCUGACAUCCAUUUGGUUUGGACAAUGAGAGACUGAGGAAAAAUAGGCAAGCAGGGUAAGAGGGAGCCCAGCUUAUUUACUACACCAGCUCUCUAUCUUCCGGGCCACGGAUGGGCAGGGCCAAUGUUUCUCUCUUAAAAGCUAAAGCUUCCUUGGGCCUCUCAGGGCCUGUGGUUUGUAGUCACUCUGUCCUGCUGUUUGUCCUAAACCUUCCCUUGUUAGACUCUUCAUUUACCUCCCUUCAGUCAUAGCUUUGCUGUCUGCUGUCUGUCUCCUGCCAGGGACCUGCCUGACAUAGAGAUGUUGCUGAUCUUUGUCAGCGCCAUUUUUAGUGGAGUAGCUGAGGCUGACAGGAAGAGAAGUAAACAGCAAAAAGGGGAGAAAAUUAAGGACAUACACUUUUUUUUUUCCCUGCAGUUUGUCAAUUAAACGAAGGAACAUGCUAAAGAGGAUGACCUAGUGAGAAUUUUGAAGAACCAGAGACGGUUCUUUUUUUUUUUUUUUUGACAGAGUGGACAGUGAAAGAGACAGAGAGAAAGGUCUUCCUUUGCCGUUGGUUCACCCCACAAUGGCUGCCGCAGCCGGCGCACCUCGCUGAUCCGAAGCCAGGAGCCAGGUGCUUCUCCUGGUCUCCCAUGGGGUGCAGGGCCCAAGCACUUGGGCCAUCCUCCACUGCCUUCUCGGGCCAUAGCAAAGAGCUGGCCUGGAAGAGGGGCAACUGGGACAGAAUCCAGCGCCCCGACCAGGACUUGAACCCCGUGUGCCGGCGCCGCAGGCAGAGGAUUAGCCUAUUGAGCUGCGGUGCUGGCCUAGAGACAGUUUUUAAUUGAGGAUGUAAACUUGUUUUUAGGAUGUGGAUAAGAUGCUUAUACUCUUGGCUUUCUAUAAGAAUGAGCUGCACAUAUGUGGGUUCAACCAACCCGAGGUCAGAAUUUUUUUAAAAAAUAUUGCAUCUGGCUCCUGGCUUCAGAUCUGCACAGCACACCGACUGUAGUGGCCAUUUUGGGGGGGUGAACCAACAACGGAAGGAAGACCUUUCUCUCUGUCUCCCUCACUGUCUAACUCUGCCUGUCAAAAAAAAAUAUUGCAUCUAUACUAAACAAGUACUAACUUUUUUGUCUUUGCCAUUAUUCCCUAAAUAAUACUGUGUACAACUGAUUACAUAGCAUUUACAUUGUAGUAGGCAUUAUAAAUAAUCUAGAUGUAGGGUGUGCAUAGGUUAUGUUCAGGAACUACACCAUUUAAUAGAAGAGAUUGAGAAUCUGCAGACUUUGGUGUCUGUGGAGGGUCCUGGAAGCAAUCCACCAUGUACACAGAGGGAUGACUGUAUAGAGGGAGAUGCUAAAAUUAUAUAAUAUGAGCACAAAAGCUGUGAGAUUUGAAUGUGACAAUAUUGUUAAAAGCACACAUGGUAGGAUCAACCUCCCACAAUGAAAAUAGAUGAGUUACUGUAUGUAGAGUAAGGAAUUAGGAAUAUUCAUGUCCUGUGGGUUCAGUUUCUUCUGUGACAUUGAAAGUGUUUUCAUUUAUUGAGAACAAAAAGGUUUGGAGGAGACCAAGGAGAAUAGUGACAGUUCGGAGACGCUACUGUGGGAAAUGGAAGAGGGAGCUGUUUACUGAAUGAGCCACAUACCCCACUGAAGAUCACAGGCAGAAAACUACUAUUUCAUGAGUAGGACUUACCAGAAAGUGGUUUGGGAACAGAAAACUGAAAUGAUCAGAAGUUUGGAGAUUAAAAAAAUUAGGACUUAGGAAGAAUAAAGGGAUGAGAAUAUGGCAGGUGCCUGUAGAUAGUCAUUGAUGUCACCUGUUAAUCCAGGCUGCGUAGUAAGGACAGAAACCGUGAAAGUGGAGAAAAGGCAGCAUCACAAAGCAGAGCUGAACAAUUUGUAGCCUUAAUGAGCAUGUGUCUUGCGAAUAAAGGACAGAGAACUGGGAGAGCAAAUGGCUGUCAUCAGAGGAGAGUAUGCUGAAACUGAAGAUUUCAAAAAGGGCAUUGAUAGUGACAGUAAGAGAAAAAUGGGAUAGAUCUUUGAGUGUAUAUUGGCCAAUCAGAAGGGCCUGAGCAGGUAUCAGCUUCUUCACUGAACUACUAUGUAAGAUCUCAAACAUUAGCAAGCAGAAUAUCCCCUAUAUUUUUUAAUUUCAGAAAUUUAAUUAAUUUCAGAAUUUAAUUUUAAUUUCAGAAAUUUAAUUUCCCAUAAGAAAGAUGAUUAUGUCUCAUACACCUUUAUUACCCUAUCCAUUAUCUAACCUCAUUCCUUAUAUGUGUUAGAUACUCAAACAUUUGUAGAAUAUUUGAAAAAGAGAAAAAAAUAAAAUUUUCAUUAUAAGAAUUUGCUAGAUGUAUUCAAAUAGAUAAGUAUAUGAUCAUUACUCUGUCAUCUGUAAUCCAUUUGUAGUAUCUAACUCCAUGCAUAUCUAUUUUUUAAAGAUUUAUUUAUUUAUUUGAAAGAGUUACACAGAGAGAGGAGAGGCAGAGAGAGAGGUCUUCCAUCCGAUGGUUCACUCCCCAAUUGGCUGCAACAGCUGGAACUGCACCAAUCCGGAGCCAGGAGCUACUUCUGGGUCUCUCACAUGGGUACAGGGGCCCAAGGACUUGGGCCAUCUUCUACUGCUUUCCCAGGCCACAGUAGAGAGCUGAAUCGGAAGUGGAGCAGCUGGGUCUCGAACCGGCAUCAAUAUGGGAUGCCGGCGUUUUAGUCCAGGGUGUUAACCUGCUGCGCCACUGUGCCGGACCCCAUGCACAUCUAUUAAAAAUCACAAUAACUAACAUUUGAGUAAUUAGUGUCAGGUACUGUUCCCAAUAGUUGGCAUGAUUUACUUUUUUCCGCCACAGCAACUCAGUCUGCCAUUAUUAUCCUUUAUAGACAAGGAAACAGAGAUACAGAGAGGUUAACUAAUUUUUUUACCCAAGGUCCCAAGUUAGGAAGUGGAUUCCAACCUAAGAUGUCUGCCAACAGUGCUCGAGAUACUGACUGUCUCUGUACGGCAGAUAUGUAGACACACAAAUACGGAUGCAUGCAUCAUCUGUUGCUUGUUUAAAUGUCAGUUUUCUUCAUCGUGAGCUCCCAGAGGUCAGGGACACUCAUGGUACAUUACAGCUUAUCAGUACAUAUUCUGUGAACAAAUGAAUGAAUGAGCUUCUCAACUUACAAAAUAAAUUUGCUAUUCCUUACUAAUUUUCCUGUUAUUUUACAACCAACACUCUUGGCUUUUCUUUCAAGCCUAUUCCAGUUGUUAUUUGGGUGGUUUGUUCUGAGACAUGUUAUAACAUUGUAAACCUUUACAUUUAAAACUUCAUUCUUCUGCUGAACAAAAAUGAACUAUUCCUUUCCUCCUACCAAAUAAAAUAGUGGAUUAAGUGUUUACAUCCAAGAUUUCUGCAGCAGUGGCUUCAGAUGUUCUAGUCAAGUCCUGCCUUUUGUGUAACUCUUACGGGUGAGUGUUACGAUCAAAGCUUCACUCUGGCAUCCCUUAGUCACCAAGUGCUUAUUUUGAGGAUGGUUGCUAUCAUCACUUACUCUCCAUACAGGAGCCACCUAGUUACUUUUGUUUUGACAAUUAUGGGUUAAAUACAUUCCUGGGCUUAAUCUUGCUUAAUCUUGCUAGCUCUAUUCUAAAUUAAGGCAUGGUGGAAAUAUCUUAUAAAAGUAAAGCUUUCUUCUAGCAGGAAUCUUUCAAAGCACUCAUUUUUAUUCUUCUUUUCCUUAUAUAAGAGUUUUCUUUCACUGUCUAAUUUGUUUUUACUACUCUGCAGCUUUCAAUAAAAUUGUAUUCUGAAUUCUUCAAAUUCUUAAAGUAUUGUUCUCUUUUGAGAUCUAUGAUUAUCCUACCUUACAGCCUUGCCACUACCCUUUUAAGUGUUUACUUCCAGUCCACACAAUUAAUUAUCAAUUUAAGAUGUUCUACUGUGUUUUUGAAUUAUAACUAUCUCAUACAGAGACACCGUUUUAUGUUAUAGUUUUAAAGUCCAGUCAUUAGCAAAAACUCUAUAAAGGAUUAAUACUCUUGUUGGCAGUUAUUUGGUAGGAGAAAACAUAUUGGAUUAUUUUUAAACAUUCCUUGCCUAUCCCCCUCCUAGCAGUUUUCCUCUAUGUGAUACACCUGUUUCUCAUUAACUUUCAAAUAGGCCAAAGUAUAUUUAAAAUGCCUUUCCAAAUUUAUAAAGAGGAAAAGAGGAUGGGGCUUUAGAUUCAUGAACAAAACUACCCAGUGACCAUAUGUUGGAGAAUGGUCAAUGUAAGCUAGUCAUAAUUAAGGAUUUUGUCUUAUCCAUUUUGUAUCACUAAUAUCUAGUACAAUUGCAUAAAUUCUUCUUUCCAUUUCUUUUUGUCCUUUUUUCUUCCCUUCUUCCACUUCAGACAUAGGAUUUUGGAGAAAGAGGUAGAGCUGGACAUAUGAAUUUGAGAGUAGUCUGAAUCAAAAUGAUAUUUCAGACUAUGGAAUAGAGAAAUCUACGUAGAGUAAGGCUUUAGCAAAGUCAGCACAGGGAACUUAGAAGGAACAAUCAGUAGAAUAGAAGUCAGACAAGCUUUGUGUUGCCAAGAAACAAAAACAACAACAACAAUGACAAUGAAAUAGUCAACUCUGUUACAUGCUAGUAGAAGAGGGAAUAAAAUAAGGAACAAUAAUUGUCGUCAUGUUUUUUAAACUAUUAUUUAUUUGAAAGGCAGAGUCACACACACACACACACACACACACACAAGAAUGACAAUGACAGUCUUCCAUCUGCUGGUUGACUCCUCAAUGGCCGCAACAGCGGGGCUGGGCUAGACCGAAGCCAGGAGCCAGGAGCUUCUUCCAGGUUUCCCACACAGGUGCAGGGCACAUUAGCAGGGAGCUGUAUUGGAAGUGGAGCAGCCUGGACUUGACCAAGCAACCAUAUGGGAUCCUGGCUUCACAGGUGAUGGCUUAACCCUCUGCACACUGUCUCCACCCACUUCUCCUCCAACAACCCCCAUUAUGUUAGGACCUAGUGAAUGUGUGGAGCUAAUAAACUGAGACUGUGAAAAACUGAAGGUGCGGGAGAGAACUCACCGGCAAAGACUUCUUGGAAAAGACUCCAGAAGCACAGGCAGUCAAACCAAAAUUAACAAUUGGGAUUGCAUCAAAUUGAGAAGUUUCUGAACAGCAAAAGAAACAGGUGAGUGAAGAGGCAACUGACAUAAUGGGAAAAAAUAUUUGCAAACUAUGCUACAGAUAAAGGAUUAAUAACCAGGAUCUACAAAGAGAUCAAGAAACUCCACAACAACAAAACAAACAACCUACUUAAGAGAUGGCCCAAGGUCAUGUCAAUAGACAUUUUUCUUUUUUAAAGUUUUAUUUAUUUAUUUUUUGACAGGCAGAGUGGACAGUGAGAGAGAGACAGAAAGAAAGGUCUUCCUUUUGCCGUUGGUUCACCCUCCAAUGGCUGCCGUGGCCGGCGCACCGCGCCUAUCCAAAGGCAGGAGCCAGGUGCUUCUCCUGGUCUCCCAUGGGGUGCAGGGCCCAAGCACUUGGGCCAUCCUCCACUGCACUCCCAGGCCACAGCAGAGAGCUGGCCUGGAAGAGGGGCAACUGGGACAGAAUCCGGCGCCCCGACCGGGACUAGAACCUGGUGUGCUAGCGCCGCCAGGCAGAGGAUUAGCUGUCAAUAGACAUUUGUCAAAAGAGGAAAUCCAAAUGGCCAACAGGCACAUGAAAAAAUGUUCAAGAUCACUAGCAAUCAGGGAAAUGCAAAUCAAAACCACAAUGAGGUUUCACCUCACCCCGGUUAGAAUGGCUCACAUUCAGAAAUCUACCAACAACAGAUGCUGGCGAGGAUGUGGGGAAAAAGGGACACUAACCCACUGUUGGUGGGAAUGCAAACUGGUCAAGCCACUAUGGAAGUCAGUCUGGAGAUUCCUCAGAAACCUGCAUAUAACCCUACCAUACAACCCAGCCAUCCCACUCCUUGGAAUUUACCCAAGGGAAAUUAAAUUGGCAAACAAAAAAGCUGUCUGCACCUUAAUGUUUAUUGCAGCUCAAUUCACAAUAGCUAGGACCUGGAAUCAACCUAAAUGCCCAUCAACAGUAGACUGGAUGAAGAAGUUAUGGGACAUGUACUCUAGAGAAUACAGCACUAAAAAAACAAUGAAAUCCGGUCAUUUGUAACAAAAUGGAGGAAUCUGGAAAACAUCAUGCUGAGUGAAAUAAGCCAGUUCCAAAGGGACAAAUAUAUGUUCUCCCUGAUCGGUGACAACUAACCAAGCACCAAAAAGGAGACCUGUUGAAGUGAAAGGGAUACUAUGAGAAACAGUGACUUGAUCAGCCCUUGUCAUGACUGUUGAUAUACAACUUAAUACUUUAUCCCUUUUAGUAUUUUUUUGUUCUACUUAAUACUAUUGAUUGAACUCUAUAAUUAACACACAAUUAUUCUUACAUGUUUAAAUUUAACUGAAAAGUGAUCUCUGUUAAAUAUAAGAGUGGGAAUAAGAGAGGGAGAAGAUGUACAAUUUGGGACAAGCUCAAGCUGACUUGCCCCAAAUGGUAGAGUUAGAAACGUGCCAGGGGAUUCCAAUUCAAUCCCAUCAAGGUGGCAUGUACCAAUGCCAUCUUACUAGUCAAAGUGAUCAAUUUCUGUUCACAAUUGAUCAUACUGAUAGGUCUAAGAGUCAAAGGGAUCACACAAACAAGACUAGUGUCUGCUAAUACUAACUGAUAGAGUAAAAAAGGGAGAGAACGAUCCACCAUGGGAAGCGGGAUACACAGCUUACUCAUAGAAUGGCAGAUGUCCUAAACAGCACUCUGGCCCCAGAAUUAGCCCUUAAGGCAUUUGGAUCUGGCUCAAGAAUCCAUGAGAGUAUUUUAGGCAUGGAAAGCCAAGACACUCUGGCAAAAAACAAACAAACAAAACACAACUAAAUUAAAGAUCUCUGUGAGUGAGAUCCCAGUGGAAAGAACGGGCCAUCAAAGAAGGAGGUACCUUUCUCUGAAGGGAGGAGAGAACUUCCACUUUGACUGUGACCUUGUCAAAAUAAGAUUGAAGUUGGCGAACUCAGAAGGCUUCCACAGCCUUGGCAACUCAUGACAAGAUUAUCAGGUGAUUACUGCUGCCAUAAACAAAAGUGUCAAUUUGUUAAGUCAACAACAGGAGUCACUGUGCACUUACUCCUCAUGUAGGAUCUCUGUCCUUAUUGUGUUGUUCAAUGUGAAUUAAUGCUAUAACUAGUACUGAAACAGUAUUUUACACUUUAUGUUUCUGUGUGGGUGCAAACUUGAAAUCUUUACUUAAUAUAUACUAAGUCAAUCUCCUGUAUAUAAAGAGAAUUGAAAAUGAAUCUUGAUGUGAAUGGAAUGUGAGAGUGAGCAGGAGA